GGGAGGAGGGAGGGGACAAAAGGAAGUGGGAGGAGCCACUGACCAAGAUAGGAGGCCUGGGCCAAGAGACUGGCCAAGAGAGUAAAGGGUAGACCAGAAGGGCCAGGUAACAAAAUGGCUGGACUAAAUGGGGAAGGGUGGCUGGUGGAAGGGUUACCCAGCUCCUGGGCUGGAAAUGUUUAGGGUAGGGGGCAGGGUUUGCCAGCCAUACUCUAUUACAGAUAGGAACUGAGGGAUGCUGGGAAAACCUGAUGGCCAUUGUCUGCUUUGAUAUGUUAAUGGACACCUGUUAGCUGGUUGUCCAGAGUUUGAGACCUAACAUCCCAGCCUCUUUUUGUUGAUAAUAAGAGGAGACACAAUCUUUUCUAUGACUAAUUCCUGCUGACCCUGGGGAAUCGUUGGUAGGAACAGAAGAAAGCAGGAAUGUUGGCCAAGACCUGAAAGAGAGGGAGGGGAGUGGAGUCUGCUUUGCUUGCUGUCCAGGCUCUCGGGACCAUCUGAGGAAGUGCAGGCCUCUUUGUAGAGGUCUGUGAUGCUGGACCACCCUCAGCUAGCCAGCCACUUUGGAGCUGUGGUAUAGAUUCCAAAGGAAUACCUGAAGCUGGCUCCACAUCUGUGAAGCAGAGUUUAGAACUGGCACGUACAGCAACAGACAUUUGCUCAGUGUGCGUGAGGUCCCGGGCUUCUUCCCCAACACCCAAAGAGCCACAGUGAAGAACACUCUGGAGUUACCACUGCCUUGACGUCAGAGAGGACAACUUAACACGCAAUACAACACCUGCCAGGAUGAGGCCGGGGAAGCUUGAGGGGCCAUGGAUUCUAGAGUACAAACCUUUCCCAACGUUUGAAGAAGGGAAAUGAGAAAAAAUGAACACCCAGAAGCUGGCAGCUCACCUGGUCCUGUGUCCACAAGUGGUGAAGAGACCUCCUCUCAAAUAAGAUAGAAGGAAGACUCUGUUCUUCCAGAAACCUCCGGAGACAGAUACCCACCAGACCAUCAAGAGCCUCUUGCCAUUGAAUACUUCUUAUCACCCAAACCACUAAACCAUGAAGCUUUACCCACAUGUCUACCUCUUAAAGUUUGUCAACUAUAUUAUUAUUUCAUACUUGUUGGUGUCGUCAACCCUAAGUGAAUAUUCAAUCAUUAUCCACUUGAAAUGGACGAAUGAACACAUCUCAAGGUUCUUCUGUUCAUGUUGCCUUUACUUGCGUUUUGGGUUUUUAUUCUGGUUUCACUCCUAGUAGAAUAAUGAUUUACUAAUUAAAGAGAAGAGACGAGAAGAGGAGUCAGAUGGUGGUGGCACACAUCUUUAAUCCCAAUACUCUGGAGGCAGAAGCAAGUUGAUCUCCCAGUUCAAGGGCAACCUGGUAUAGAGUGAGUUCCAGGACAGCCAGGGUUACACAGAGAAACCCUGCCGAAAGAAAGAAAAGAAAAGAAAAGAAAAGAAAAGAAAAGAAAAGAAAAGAAAAGAAAAGAAAAGAAAAGAAAAGAAAUAUGGUGUUACUAUGUAGCUCCAACUGGCCACAAACUUGAUAUUCUUCUGCUUCAGCCUCUCAAAUGCUUUGGAUUACAGGCUUGUGCUACCAUGCCUGAUGCUACUUAUUUUAGAAUUUGACCAUGGGAAUCUAGAAGAUGGUUCAGUGCUUAACAGCACUGGAUGCUCUUGCAGGUUCAAUUUCCAACACCUGCACAGUAGCUCACAGCUGCCUGUAACUCCAGUUCCAGCAGAUCUGAUGUUCAGUUCUGAGGGGCCAGGCACACUCAUGGCAGACAGACACACUUGCAGCUAAAAGAUUCAUGCAAUAAAAAUAAAUAAAGAUAUUAAAAAAUAAAUUGUA